rnacentral:RNase_P_RNA from 1 species
GAAGUUGAUUGAACAGUCGCUGUAUAAUUAAAUUUAUUAAACAGAGGAAAGUCCGGGCUCCAACGGGUAUAGUGCCAGGUAACACCUGGGAAGAGAAAUCUUACGAAAAGUACAACAGAAAAUAAACUACCAAUAUAAAAUAUUUAUUAUUAAUAAAUAAAAAAUAUUUUAAUAGGAAAAGGUGAAAUGGUGCGGUAAAAGCGCACCGCAAAAUUUGGUAACAAAUUUGGCAUGGUAAACUCCACUAGGAGCAAGGUCAAGUAGGAGAAUGUACCCGCAUAAAACCUCUCCGGGUAGACCGCUAAGAAUUAAUAAGCAAUUAUUAAUCUAGAUAAAUGACUGUUUUUAACAGAACCCGGCUUAUAGAUCAACUUCAUUA